rnacentral:rRNA from 1 species
UGUACCCAUGCCGAACACAGAAGUUAAGCUUCUUCACGCCGAGAGUAGUUGGUGGGAAACUGCCUGCGAGGGUAGGUAGCCGCCGCGC